CGGGGGCGGUUCAGCGUGCAUGUUAUACGGAAUUUGGUCUACUCCUCGUCCUCUACACAUCUCUCUAUCCUGGUCCCAGAACUCAGAAGCAUGAUCGGUCGAACCCAGAUGGUUGGCCGAGCUGAGUUGAUGAUCUUGUAAUUCUUUAAGUUUGGAAAAGGAGAGCAAAGGGAGAAGACACGCUUAAGUGACCAAAGAUUUAGACUAUGAUCGAAGCCAAUUACAAAGAUUCGGAGGAAGAUGAGUCAUGAGACCCUUCCAAGGAGGUGUUUGAGGCAAUACGGUAAUAAAUCAGACACAUAGCUUCUGGGAUUGUCACUCCUCCGCCGACUGUUCUUCCACCACCGAGUUCUCAU